UGUUGCUGACGAGACGCUGAUGUCAGCAGGUGGAUGAUUGAUUCUGCUUGCGCUCUUACUGGAUUUCAUCAACCAAACAAGUAGCCUAAGGAAAUCAGUAUCAGAUCCACCUCUAGCCGACCAUGUCUGAACCGGGUUCUGGUUGUGGUGUUCCGGCCCAUACAAGCUCACAACAGGAUCCAGAGAUGGUGUCAGUGAAGCUGGGGGACUGCAGUCAAACACUGGAACUCAAUGUGAUUGUCAAAGAGGAGGGAGAGAGCGAGGACGGAAACAGUGACUCUGUUGACUCCGGUAAAUUCAGGCUAACAACAUAAUCUUUGUGUUAUACAAAUCAAGAUCAUUGAAUUAACCAGCUAAUUUUGAUAAACAACAUUACAGUUGAUUAUCUGGUACAUUAAGACAUCUACACUUAUAUGUGUGUUUUUGGUUGUUGAGUCAAAUUAGACCAUGCCAAUAUCAAGCUUCAAGUUAUUUCUGAAUAUUUAGACAAAUUUGUAUUUAUUAUGGAUCCCCAUUCUGAGGUCCAGCAAAAUGAAGGCAGUUAUACAUUUUAAAAAUAUUACAAAACAUUCAUAAGAGUUUUCACAACAUAUUAAGCGUGUGCCCUCAGGCCUCUACUCCACUACCACAUAUCUACAACACAAAAUCCAUGUGUUACGUGUCUAUGAUUGUUGCUUCACAGUCCCAGCUGUUCAAUAGGGUGUAUUUUUUUAUCCGUUUUUUUAUUCUUUCAGUGAAAUAUGGAACCGUUCUGUAUUUUAUCUAACGGGUGGCAUCCAUACGCCUAAAUAUUGCUGUUACAUUGCACAACCUUCAAUGUUAUGUCAUAAUUAUGUACAAUUCUGGCAAAUUAGUUUGCAACGAGCCAGGCGGCCCAAACUGCUGCAUAUACCCUGACUCUGUUGCACAGAACGCAAGAGAAGUGACACAAUUUCCCUAGUUAAAAUAAA